AGGAUGAACGCUGGCGGCGUGCCUAACACAUGCAAGUCGAACGUCCUGUCUCGCAAGAGGCAGGGAGUGGCGGACGGGUGAGUACCACGUGGGUUAUCUACCGUGAGGUGAGGAAUACCGGCGAGAAAUCGCCGACAAGACCGCAUAGGCUCGAUGCAAGUCGAGCAAAGCUCUUUCGAGAGAGGGAGCGCCACACGAGGAGCCUGCGCCCGAUUAGCUAGCUGGUGGAGUAACGGUUCACCAGGGCGACGAUCGGUAGCUGGUCUGAGAGGACGAUCAGCCACACUGGGAUUGAGAACGGCCCAGACUCCUACGGGGGGCAGCAGUGAGGAAUUUUCGUCAAUGGGGGCAACCCUGAACGAGCAACGCCGCGUGCAGGAAGAAGGUUUUCGGAUCGUAAACUGCUUUUCUCGGGGAAGAGAACGGACGGUACCCGAGGAAUCAGCCCGGCUAACUACGCGCCAGCAGCCGC
rnacentral:rRNA from 1 species